UACAGAGGUCCCAAGCGUUGUUCGGAUUCACUGGGCGUAAAGGGUGCGUAGGUGGCCAGGUAAGUUCGGUGUGAAAGCUCGGAGCUUAACUUCGAGAUGUCAUUGAAUACUAUCUGGCUAGAGGGUCGGAGGGGAGACUGGAAUUCUCGGUGUAGCAGUGAAAUGCGUAGAUAUCAAGAGGAACACCAGUGGCGAAGGCGAGUCCCUGGACGAUACCUGACACUGAGGCACGAAAGCCAAGGGAGCAAACAGG
rnacentral:rRNA from 1 species